rnacentral:rRNA from 1 species
UCGGGAAUUUUGCACAAUGGCCGAAAGGCUGAUGCAGCAACGCCGCGUGAGCGAAGAAGGCCUUCGGGUUGUAAAGCUCUGUUGCCUGCGAAGAAGGGCCCUGUCAGGAAAUGGGCGGGGUUUGACGGUAGCAGGCGAGGAAGCCCCGGCAAACUACGUGCCAGCAGCCGCGGUAAUACGUAGGGGGCGAGCGUUGUCCGGAAUUACUGGGCGUAAAGGGCGUGUAGGCGGCCUGUUAAGGCAGGGGUGAAAGACCGGGGCUCAACCCCGGGGGUGCCUCUGAAACUGGCGGGCUUGAGUGCUCUAGAGGGCAGUGGAAUUCCCGGUGUAGCAGUGAAAUGCGUAGAGAUCGGGAGGAACACCAGUGGCGAAGGCGGCUGCCUGGGGAGUCACUGACGCUGAGGCGCGAAAGCUAGGGGAGCAAACAGG